GCCCAGGUGGCGGAAUUGGUAGACGCGCUGGUUUCAGGUACCAGUCUCGCGAGAGGUGAAGGUUCGAGUCCUUUCCUGGGCACCA
rnacentral:tRNA from 29 species